UUUUGGUCUCAUGGAGCUAGCAAUUGAUAGGUAUGUAUGGGGAAUUCAAAAAGCAAGGCAACUCAAGAUACAAAGGCAGCAGAUGUACCUAGGCUAUCAGAUUUAGCUGUACAUGGCUAACAUCAUGCCCUUCUCACAAUGUGUGUACAUGAUGUGUUGCAGGCCAUAUGGAUGGGGCAAAUGUCGAUGAAUACAACACAGAGAAUAUACCCUUAGCUGACAAUCUUGACCAUAGUUACUCAAUGGGUCCAGGUAUAAUUCUGUCUAAAUAUCGUCAAACAUACUUUUUGCAUAAAUCAUAUGUUUUGUAUGUGAUCAAUCAUACCUGGCAGACGACAAGGGGGGCAACAACACAUCAGAUUGGUCCAGUGAUGCUUCUUUGCCGGCCCCCAGUAAUCUCACACUGGUUUAUGACACAGAUGUACCACAAAGUUCAAAUGGUAUUGCACGAUCCGUCUUUCAUAUGAAAUAAUUUGUGCUUACGGGAGCCGGCAUAAACCAGUGUGAGAUUACCAUUUGAGCUUCUGCAUGUGGCCCAUUAAUGUGGUCAAAGCAAGUUCUGUGGUCAGUACUCAAUUUGGUCAGUGAGCUAAACGUCAACUUGGUCAGUACUCUAUUUGGUCAAAGCAAGGUCUAACAAAUAUUUAGCUGCAGGUUUCUUAUACUACUUUGAAUUUAAACCAAGACAAUUUGGUCCAUUGUUAGGAAAAGUUAAGGAUUGUGAGCGAGAAAGUGGAGAGAAAAAAGGUACUUAUCAGCGGCAGGGGCGCGAGUAGGAUGCCCUUUCCCAGGGAACUAAAGUAGGAUUUGUCUUUACAACUAUGUUGUCGCAGUGUUCUCAUUCUGAAGGCGCCGACAGACCAUGAUACUUGAAGAUAUGGACGUGCCAAAUCUGCGCCGACCUCCUCUACGUGAUAUCUCUAAUGUUGAUCAUCAUUCCAAAUGUCUCCAGUGCCAGGUAAAUGCACAUGAUUGCUUAUAGUUUAUCGCAUUGGGUCAUAUACUUUACCUGUUUUUGCAUUGAAAUUGACUACAAAAUUAGUGAGCUCGGAGAACUUAACCCUGUUUGGAUCCAGUUGGGAAUGGGUAAAUCUUGCUAAGCAACUACGAGAGCGCAACAGAACUAAGCUGAUGGGGAUGCGAGAAACUACCAAAUACGACACCUGGUCGACAAAGAUGGAUGCGAGGUGGGUUACUAAUAUGUUUUUAUAGCUAAGUUUGUUUCUGAAUAGUGUAUUCUACUUCACUUAUUUUUUAAUCUAUCUCCCAAAAUGUUUAUAAUGUUAUCCUUGUUGUUUAGCAUCUGUCAGUGGUAGAAGAGAUGAAUCACAAAAGUAAAGCUUGCAGUCAAAAAUAUGUGAAGCUCGGGAGGGCAUAGUGCUCAAAUACGUGUACCUCGAAACUUAAUUUUGUUCGCCUGCAUCAAUCAUCCAGUUCUGGUCUGACUUCAUUUUGCAAGGUCAGUGUGAGCAAUAUUUGCAUUCCACACUAUAUCAUGACCUUUUCUCCAUUUUAUGGGUACCUGCAAAACUAAUUGAAUUAAACAGGGCCACUGAACUUACAGUAACAAGAAUGUCCAGCUACACAAUAGAGCAAGCAAAAUUCAAACAUUUUCUUGUGGCCAGAUUAAAUAUAAAUGUACAUGCACAAGACAUCUUGACCACAAAAUGUAUAAUCACUAAAUUAGGCGGUUCAGCUUGAAGAUAUAUGUUCAUAUGGUGAGUGUAGGACCCAACUCCAGCAACUUUUUAGCUCAGAGAGUAAACAGCCUUAGAAUUUAACAGGAAAAAUCUACAUACAACUCCCUCUAUAACAAAAUAUAAUACAUUUUUGUAUUUCCGACAGCUCCCAAAUCUCUGUAAAAGUACAAUUCUGCCCUCACCAUUGUUCUGCUCCCAGAUCUAUUUGAAUUUUAACCUCGCCGUCGUUAGCACCUCGUGCCUCGCCCAGCAACUCGCGCCUCACUAUUUCCCAGGCACUGCUUGCCGCACCGCACCCAGGCACUCCUCCUUGACCAAGCGCCCAGGUGGAGGCCACCGCUGCUGGCGCUCGUCCUAGCCGCGCUGGCCUAGGCACUCCUCGCCGCCUAGAGGCGCUGCUUGCCCAGGCACUCCUCGCCUAGCAGCAUCUUCUCAUCUGCAAACUGAUUCAAAUUGAUUUCAGAGGAGCCGCAUAGGAGGCGGAUCAAGCGGAGCAGAGACAGUUACUGUACCAAACUGAUUCAAACUGUGCAGUUACUGUAAAUUCACAACAAUUACAGUUAUUGUACAGCUAACAAACUGUGCUCCAGUUACUUGUACUGGAGGAGUAACAAACUGUACAAACAAAAACAGAAACAAAAACUAUACAAACUGAUCUGGACAGAAGCAGUACUAAGAACAGAAUAUUUGCACUAAACUGAAAUUAACCUAACAUUUGCAGAUGCAGAAGCAGUACUCCUAAACAUGCAUGGCUCAUCUACUCCAGAUACAAGUCCUACAAGCUUUAAGUGUUGAUCGUACAAGCCUGCUCCUAAACUUUCAGAGUACAAGCCCUAGACAAUUAUUUAUGCACAUUUCAGAGUUGACAACAUGCAUCAUCUUCUCCUAAAUAAUUUUUGCAUCAUCUAAAUACUCUAACUACUGCAUCAUCUAUGUACUCUUAACUAUUGCAUCAUCAACAAUAUUCAGUAAAUACUCUAACUGAACUAGGCGAUUCAAGCACAUGCAUCACUACACUGGAGUACUCUGCACAUGCAUCUCUACAUUGGAGUACUCCUAGCACAAGCGUCAAGGAAUCAUCUACUCCAUCUGCAAUACUCCUAAAAUGAAAAAUAAAAUAAACUGCUAAGCAUUACUCCUUCUGAAAAUCAUAUGAAAAUAAUAAUAUGCUAAACUAAAAAGAUUCAUCUGCUAAACUAAACUAUGGCUUCAGUUAUGUUCAUUUUAGCAGCAGUACUACAACAUCUACUCUAGCAACAAUAAAUGAUGAGUAAAUGUUGGAAUUUCCAACCAUGUACACUAUGCAACAGUACAAUUCAUAAAGAUUAGUGCUACUCCUUUCAGUUACAAAGACCAUCCCUACUAUAUUGCAAAAACUAGACUGAGGAGACGCAGUACUGUAAGUGUCGGAUAAGCAACAUGAAAAUCAAUGUUGGAGUAAUUGUCUUACACCUAAUCAGUGCAGACGUAGCAACCGCAUCUUCACGAGCUGCCUCGUCGUCCAUAUCCCACGGUUCUUCCCUUCGCAACAUACAUCCUACUCCCAUCUGCAUCCCAUCAAGAAUCACAACCAUAUCCCAUCUGCAUCCAUAUCCCAUCCUCACAAGAAUCACAACAUACUAUACUCCUAAUCAAGAAUCUACCCACGCAGACAGUACGAGAAAGAUGCACACCUCGUGGGUCUUGCCGUCGAGCGUAGAGCAUGGUAGUCGAUUGGGACGGGUGUGGGAUCGCUCUCAGGUGCCGUCGAGAUGGAGGGGGGCUCCAUCGAAGAGAGCCUGUCGGGGACGGCAGCGUCCAGUACGGGCGCUCCUCCUUGCAGGUCGAGGGCGAUGAGGAGCGCCGGCGUUCAUUGCAGCCGUUGUCGAGUAGGAGAAGUCCGCCCUGCCCGCGCUCCGCCUGCUCCUCCUCAACCUCGGUAAAUAAAUCUUUGGAGCAGGUGACGCGUGCGAGAGGGAGAGAAGGUGGCGACGCGCGUCCGUCGGAGGGAGGCGGCGACGCGGGCGAGAGGGAGGCGGUUCGUCGGACUAGAGCUAGGGAUUUGGUGGAGGGGAAUGAGAGAGUGGUGCGGAGAGAGUGAGGGGAACGAGAGCGUUGUGCGGCGUCCGGCGUUGUGCUAUAUUGGAAAGUAAAGAAAAAUCGUUACGUGACAGAAAACUCCCAAAAAAGUGUGUUAUGUAGUAGUAUUUUUCAGCGAUAUAUUUUGUUAGAGCAUCUACAACCGAACUUGGCAAAUCCGGUCCCUUAAACGCCCGCGGACGCGCCCGGGUGCGUCCGUGGGCAGUGACCGGGCACUCCUAAAAAAAUACAAUCCACAUCCGGACACCUCAAUUAGCAUAUCUCAAAUCCAUACAAACUCAUGCAACUACGUCGACGCAUACGCAUCGUUCGGCUACUCCGUCACACUACACUAAACAUGCUAUCGGACUACCAAAAUUUGGCAUGUUUGGCUAUGGUGGAGUUCAUCCACGUCUGCGCUUGCCCUUCCCGACGCCCUUGUCGUCCUUCUCGCGGAAGUACCGGUCAAAGACGCAGUACGGAUCGAGCCGGAUCUGCUCGUCGCCGGAGCUGUCCUCGCAGUCGCUGUCCUCCUUCUCCUCCUUCGGUGGCAGUCCGUUCAUGGCACGGACCGCCCGAUUCUGCUCUAGGGCGAGGGCGCGCGUGGUCCUCCGCUGUCGUUUCUUACAAAUGUGGGCGUGGAUGGCUUCCUCCUCUUCGGCCGCCCUCGUCGUUGCAUCAGCCGCCUCCGCCGCCGCCAUUUCCGCCGCUAUACCAGCCUUGGCGGCCCUUAUCCUCUCCUUCCCACAGCGUGCUGCCCGUUCCCGGUGAGACUCGUAGUCUGCCCGACUGGUGAUGGGGAAGGAGAGGUGUUUCGGCUGCCGGGACCGCGAGGAUCCAGCACCAGAGGACCUGAGCGCCCGGUGAGCAGACGCUAUGGCUUCGCGGCGGACGGAUCCGUCUGUCGGUCGGGUGUUGUCCUCCCAGGGGCGGCUGAGUGUGCGGACUGCCAUUGCCUCCUCCAACCCACACGGGAUGACACCCCAGUCGAUGGAUCCAGACUGGUCGAAGUCCGAUCCGCUGUUUGCCAUGGCGGAGAAGGUCGAAAUCCGCUGGAGGUGAGCUCAGGUGGCGGAGGGAAGGGGAGACGAGUGGAGUGAUGUGGCUAGGGUUUGCUCCGGCGAGCGGAUGGGGAUGAAUGUAAGUGGGGUCUGGUGGGCCAGUAUGGGCCGGGUCCGACGUGGCGGGCGUGCCGGGGCGCCCCCAUAUCUGCCCCAUAUUUAGCUGGAUAUGGGGGUGCCGGUUAGCCCGGGCGUUUCAGGUCCGUUUGAGAGGCCCGUCAGUGUCAAAAAAUUAUGAUCGGUCAGUGACCGGGCGGCCAGCCCGGGCAUAUGAGGGGUGACCCGUUUUUUUAGAAAAAUCGGUUGUUUUUUUAUAUGAACGAAAAUCAACUAUUUGCUCAUAGAGAAAUGUAACAUAUUUUUAUAGUGAACAAUAUCACAUACCUUAAAUAAUAAAUUCCCGAGAAGGGAAAUCAACUAUUUUCUCCUAGAACAAUAUCAUGAACAAGUGAUUUAUAAGUUAGCCUAAAUUUAUUAAAAUCAGGAUGCAACUUAUAAAUCAUUAAACGUUUUAUGAUAUUUUUUAUGCGGUUGUAACUUUUGACCAAUAGAGCCACAUUAAACUUUAUUGUCCUUCUGGCACAACUAUUUACAUCUCACACAUAAUGCUUACUUCUUCUUAAAUGUCGCAGUUUAAUUGGAAGAGGGAAGGGAGGGAGGGAGAGAGAGAAUGUUGCAUUGCAGCGAGAGAGGCAAAGGGAGGGAGAAGUUAAACAAUGUGAGAUGUAAAUCAAGUGCAUGGUUAAAGUCUGGGUGGAGAUGGAAGGUGUGAUUGCGAGCUAGAUGCACCAUUGAAAAAUGUGGUGAGCCUGGGCUCGGGAGGAAGAGAGGCAAAGAUAAUGGGUGGAGGAAGAAAAGGAAAAGAGUAAUUUAACGGUAAAAAAGACAACAUUCGCUGAUGUACAUGAGGAAACUAAAGGUACUCCACUUGUUCUAAAUUAAUGUUUUCUUUCUCACGAAUCAAUGUGGAACUGUGUACUGACAUUCCUCCUUAUCUGGAAUCUCCAUUUGCACCAUCUAGAAGAAAAUUUAAGGAAGAGACUAAAAGGCACAUACAUGAGUAGCCUCAUUCUUGUCUUAGAAAGUUGGUUCUUAUAUGUCUUAGAAAGUUGGUUCUUAUAUAUAUGUCUUGGAUUAAAAAGAGCAUGAGAACUUGCCAAGCCAUCUGAAAAUGCCAUCAUAGCCAAAACUUUUUUUAGGUUGCUGACAACAUUGAGCUGGACUUGCUUUUUUUGCUACUAUUGCUGAAGACAAACUCCAAAAAAGGGAGUGAAAGCAGAAAGAAGAGAGGUUGCACAAGAUGAGUAAUGAUGGGUAGCGAUAGAGGCUGAAGCUGUGAUGAUGAUGCGGAUAUGACCAUUAGUAUGUUUCCCAUCAAGGAAACCUACAAUUUCUAUUAUGAUACAAAUUUUCUAUUAUGAGGUGUGUUUCUCAUAAAGAAUGUGAUUUCUGCAUGAUAGUUUUCUAAAAACGUGAAGGUUUUAUGCAAAGACUGACAUUUUAGAAGGAUGUAGUAAAAUGUAAACCUUGGUAGGUACUCCUGAAGUUGAAGCUGCUCAAGCAAUAGUAAUUUGUUUUUCCGAGCACUGAACUACUAUUUCUGGUUUUGCUUAUUGUUAUUCCUCGUAGGAUGUUCAAGAGGAACACCCUUUAAAUUGUGUACUUGUCAUAGCUUCAGGUCCACUUGUGAGCCCUUAUGCAAUUUUGCUUAAGUUAGAUUAGGAUGGGUUCCUUUGACCUUAUGGUCAUGUAUAUAACAACGAGGACCUAUUACAUAUCCUUUUUUCCCUCAGAAAUCUUUAGGUACAACUGCAUGGUCACGUG
rnacentral:lncRNA from 1 species